rnacentral:rRNA from 1 species
AGCUCGUGUUGUGAAAUGUUGGGUUAAGUCCCGCAACGAGCGCAACCCUUAUCCUUUGUUGCCAGCGGUCCGGCCGGGAACUCAAAGGAGACUGCCAGUGAUAAACUGGAGGAAGGUGGGGAUGACGUCAAGUCAUCAUGGCCCUUACGACCAGGGCUACACACGUGCUACAAUGGCGCAUACAAAGAGAAGCGACCUCGCGAGAGCAAGCGGACCUCAUAAAGUGCGUCGUAGUCCGGAUUGGAGUCUGCAACUCGACUCCAUGAAGUCGGAAUCGCUAGUAAUCGUGGAUCAGAAUGCCACGGUGAAUACGUUCCCGGGCCUUGUACACACCGCCCGUCACACCAUGGGAGUGGGUUGCAAAAGAAGUAGGUAGCUUAACCUUCGGGAGGGCGCUUACCACUUUGUGAUUCAUGACUGGGGUGAAGUCGUAACAAGGUAACCGUAGGGGAACCUGCGGUUGGAUCACCUCCUUAUCUUAAAGAAGC